rnacentral:lncRNA from 1 species
UCCAAUGGCUAAUUAGAAAUUUGUUAUUUGAGUUUUGAAAAUUUGAUGCUAGUAUAAUUAGUUCAAAGAUGCCUUUUGAUGUAUUUUGUCCAAGGGGGGGACCAUUAGGAAAAUGUUUGUCUAAAGAAAAAGUCUAAUUUAUGUUUAUAUGACUAAGUUGGGUUCCCCCUUGGUUCACAUGCUUUGUCCUUUUACUUUUUCUAUGUGGAACUAAAUAAUUUAAUUUGUUGGUUCCCAAAAUUCCAAUUUUCAGAUAAGUCACUUAUCAAGGUUAUUUUGACUGUUCUUUUACACAUGUUUGGUUAGAAGAAAGUAGAAGGAAUAGGAGAUAGAUUACUAUUUUAAAUUUUAGUUGUUUGGAUCAAUUUUUUGGAUGAGAUGAGAUAAAAACCUCCCUUGA